UGGACGCAACGGCCACGUUCCCGCGAACAGAACUGUCAACUUCAUUGUGUUUAUUCAUGUAAGCCGACGACCAUUAGGGCAUAAUAAAAUAAAACGUUUUUAACUGAAAAUAACAGUUAACAUUUUAUAAGAAUAUGAAAAAAUAAAGAAAAUAGUGUUAACAGUGACGAAUUGCAAAAUUGGAGGGAAAAAACCACAAGAUCGGAGAAGAAAAUGCAACUUUCGCGUUCAAGGUCAAUUGCGGCGUCCUUUCGUCGAUAGCAUAGCUACAUGGACGUGAUAAAUAUCGAGAUAAAAAUGUAGCAGGCCAUGGAUGUACCUACAUUAAUAGUGCCAGCGAACGAAUGUUUAAUGCAUACAUAACUAAAAUUCCGAAAAGGAACAUAAACGUCGGCAAGUGAAGAAUGAAGCGAGUUAAUUUUGACCUUGUUGGAAGGAGGCACCGCACCAGAAGGUUAAAUAUGGGAAUAAUCCUUCUAGGACAAUCUUGUUGUUUGCUUGCAGAUAUAUAAUUACGAACAUUACAAAACAACAAUGACCCGGACAAGAUUAUGAAAAAAUACUCUGCCUUGUUAAAUUACUAGUGCUCUGAAGAUGAACCCAGAGACUCAAGCUGCGGCUGGUGAGACGUUUGUCAGUUGGGAACAAGGCUAGGUAUUGAAAUGAAACAAAAUAAAGUUUCCUGUGACCUGUUCUCUCACUGUGAUGAUUUAGCACUCAAUAAAUUGUCUGCUGUAACCAGCUAUGAAAAGGUAAUGUCACUCUUAAGUGACCACUGGUUUUUUGUGUGAUUAUUAUCACUGAGAAUCUUACCUAAGGCAGCUGUUCAAUUAUUAAAUCACAAUCAAUGGCAUAAGAGGUUUUUAAAUCAUUUACUUAAACAUGCUGUUGACAAGUGGUGUUUUAAGAAAGUUUAGCAGAAGUACUAAUGACUUAUAAAUUAUUGUAAGUCCUAAUGCCCGGUACUUUAAACUUCAGGGGCUCAACUAUCAAUAUUUUUUUCUAAUGUAUGUUUUGCUGUUGCUUUUCUUUGUUAUCAUAUAAUAAAGUAUUUAUUACUUAUUUACUAACAACAUACAAAAACCCUGGUCAAAAGCAGCAAUAAGGAAGCGGAGCAACACUUUCCCCUUUGCAUCACAAUGUGGUCGCACUCAGCGACACCACAACAGCCUGUGUUCAUUUAGAACAAAUUCUUGAAAGUUGUGGUUAACUUAAAUACAUUUUUUGUCAGUGCAAUGACAUCAUAUUUACAAGGACCCAAGGAUUUUGUCCUGGUUAAUCAUACAUUAAUUCUGAAAAAUGAUUACUAUUGAGCAAUCGACAGUCAAUACUAGGAAGUUAUGUGACUGUGAUAUAUACUGUGUGUACAAAAUAUAUGCCUAUGAUGUUCUCACACAAGAAUAUACACUUUACACAGCUUAAUAUUUAACUAAAAUAUUUUAUGUACAAAACCCUAAGGGAAGUAAAUACAGUUAUAUUUUUAAUAUAAGUAAAUUGAUUGCAACUAAGCAUUGGAAUUGCCAUGAAACUAAUUGUUGCAUGAACACCUUUUACUUGAUUUUAUGAGAGUAGAAAAUAUCUCUGAUUCAUGUGGAAAGCUGAGAUUACAGUUUUAAGUCCUGUCAUUAGACUAUUUGACUAUAUGUCUCUCUAGCUAUGUGUCAGACCUUUCAUGAAGUGUCCAAGAUCUAGAGGUCACACAAUGAGCAACUGUUUAGAUGUUAUAUCUAUUGUCCUUAUGAUAAAUGUUUUUAGACUAUGUAGGUACCUAUACAAGAUGCACUCUAUUAUUCUUGAUACCAUAUGGAGCUAGGUAUAAUCAAAUUAAACUAGCUCCUUAGUACCUUAGAAAGCUGUCUAAUAUCUGGAUUUAUUUCUUUACCCAAUAAGAAACAAUGUCAAUAUAUCACCUAGUGUGACUUAUUUUGGUGGCUAAUUGAAAGUAAAGGGUUAUAAAUAUACUUUUUGAAGAUAUUUAUUUACUAUACAGUAAUAGUUUAUUGACCUGCUGGGGCAACCGUGUGGAAAUGAGUUAUCUGUGGGAUUAUGGAAGGAGCCUAUUAAUAGAAUACAUUACAUUAAUUUUAUUCAGCUUAAUGGUGGUCUUUAUAUUUAAAGACGUUUCUUUCCGAUUUACCAGACUGUGACAUACUUCUGAGAAAAUACAACACAGCUAUCUCAAUUAUAAACCGCUUUGGUGAACUGAAAUACUACUGUACAGUAUUUUUACCUCAAAACCAUCGAUGUUCGAUGCUCAAAACAAUGUUGAGGAACAAUUGGCAUUGGUGUGAAACGAGACAUUACAAUAUUAGUCUUAAAUAUUAUAGGUGAACUGUGUCAUAGCUGAUUGAGAGAUAACUAUAUAAGAUUUCGGAGAUAAAACGUAAAUUAAACAAUGAAUAUUUAGAAAUUUCCUGCAUCAUUUUGGAACUCAUAUACCGAGUUAUUGGAGUCGCGCAGAUGAAAUAUGUGAACGCUAUAUAUAUCCUGGUGUAGUAACCCAGAUAUUUUUUCUACAUAGAUGCUUGCACAUUUUCUUUGAUGAAUUAUUUUAUCUAUGCUUUUCUUCCAUUCGAAAUGAAAUUUAAGGUACCUAUUAAAGUUUUAGGUAAUGCAGAAGACAUGGCAACAACCAUAUUGUACACAGUUUUUACAAAUACUUACAUGUUACAUACAAUUGUAUAGAUUUGAGCGCCAGCUCACAUUUAUAAAAACUUAUUCCAUUAA